ACCUGUGCACUUACUGAAGAGAGAGAGGGAGAGGGAGAGUGGUUUAUUCGUUUAUUCAUUUAUUCGUGUAUUCAACUCAAAGUCUUCAAUCUCUCUUUUGACUUUAUAAUAAACAACUAUAUUGUUUGUGUAGAAUGCAUUAGCCUCAUUGUAGGUGAAAUAACUAUACAACUUUCAACAACGGAUCUCUUGGCUCUCGCAUCGAUGAAGAACGCAGCGAAAUGCGAUAAGUAAUGUGAAUUGCAGAAUUCAGUGAAUCAUCGAAUCUUUGAACGCACCUUGCACUCCUUGGUAUUCCGAGGAGUAUGCCUGUUUGAGUGUCAUGUUAAUCUCAAUACAACAUUUUUUGUAACUAAAAAGUGUUAAUAUUGGACUUGGGGACUGCUGGCGUAAGUCGGCUUCUCUUGAAUGCAUUAGCUGGGCUUUUGCUCGAGUAAUUGGUGUAAUAGUUUCUAACAUUCACCGUUUACACUUGCUAAUAGAGUCUGCUUCUAAUCGUCUUGUAAUGAGAC
rnacentral:misc_RNA from 1 species